AAAAGGGUUGGCUUCCACUCUUCCAAAAUUAUCCAAAGUCCAGACUCCAAGGCAAUCUCCUCUCCAAUUUACUUUCUCCAAUUCGUAAUUCUUCAAUAUCCUCUCCUCUCCAGCCCAUAUCGACAGACGGCAUCUCUAGCAAUUCGGGAAGUCCCAAAAGUUUUCUAAUCAAAUCAGGUUAUUAGGGCCUCAUCUUUUCUUGCAGGUGGAUUUCUUGUUUUUUGCUUUUAGUUUAUGCGCUUUUAAUUUCAUGAAUAUUCUGAUUGUUUAUUUAUCUUUUCUGAAUUUGGGAGGAACGUGGAGAAAACUUUUGGGUUGCUUUUUGUUUGGUGGCAGGCCUGUUGGCUGCGGGGUGGGGUGAGCGAGAUUGGGAAUUGAACAAACAGUGCUAACAAACUAAUAUUGAGAAGCACUGAGAUCGUGCUCAAUCUCAAUGUUUUGACUGCAUUCAGAUUAGGGAUGUAAUAUAUCUUGAUUUAAAAUUUACAUUUGCUUAAGGUAUAACUAACUUAACGAGUUAGUAAUCAAUUACUUCUUUCUUCACCCCCAAAAACUUCAAAUGCCCAUUGGCCAUUACCUACUGACUUUUGAAACCACAUUACAAGAUCAUCUCACAUAAUUAACCUUCUAACCCCAAAAUAUCCACAUUCAUGAUUAUAGAAAAAUAAGUAUAACUACAUAGCAAAAAUUUAACGUCAUACAUACCAGUAAGGUGGCAUAAUUAAAUUGUUGCAAUUCGUAGUGUUUGAAUCACUAUAAUUUUCCAUAUUUAAAUGUACUUUCUAUAUAGAAUCUUGUUUUUUUACCACUUGUUUGUAAAAUUGAUGGGACUCUUUUUGGUGUGAAAUAAACAGGAAGUAGAAUUACUACAACUUGAAGGCUUACAAUUUGGAGUUGAAGUCAAUGAAACAAAAGGUAUACGAUUGAUCGUGUUUAGAAAUAUAAAAAAUGCCAUUUAUGAAUACUUUUUUUCAUUAUUUCUUUGAUUAAGCCUUGUUUGACAACCAUAAUUCAUGUUUGUUUGGUAAGUAUUUUGAUUCCCUAUUUUGUAUUAACAGGCAUUAACAACUUGCCUUAUAAAUGAAGGUUCCCAUAUGGGAAU
rnacentral:lncRNA from 1 species